ensembl:lncRNA
CAUUUGUGGCAACAGAACAUUMAACUUGACUGACUUGUACUUUGUCUAUUUGGACGACCAUACAGCUUUCAAUGCAUAUUUGAUAUAUUCAUAACAAUAAUUCCUGAAACUGCUAGCUAAUGGCAAUUAAGUGGCUUCAUUGGUGCCACUCUGUAAUAGUCCAUAUUUUAUACAAGUGUGCAUGCAUACACACUGACACACAUUUUUUUUAAAUAUAAAACAAGUAGAUGAAGGAUAAUUAAUUAAGGAUAAAGUACAUAGCUAUCAGAUGACUASUUAAUGAUAAAGUAGGAGCUAGAGGAUUGCUUUACUCCACACUUAUGGAAUGCAAAUGAUUUCAGGCUCUUAGUUACAUUUUGUUAAAUCAAUUUUGUAUUGUAACUGUAGGUGUAGACUUGUGACAAGUGGAAGAGUUGCAAGAAAAUUCUUAUUUUAAAUCCAUAUGAGUAACUGCAAUGAAUGUGGUUUUUAUUGUAAGGCAUUCAGUACUUUGUGGCAACUCUCACCAUGAGAGGCUUUAAUUGUGUACCUCCAACCUGCAUUAAUGAGUGUCUGUCUUGAAAAUGUUAACAGCUAGAACAAAUCCUGCCAGAGGAUAAGUUGCCAGUACAUUGGACGCAGGGACAAAAGAGAUCAGGUGGCAGCAGUCCCCAUAGCAGUCCUAAGGCUGUUCGCAGGACAAAGACAGGUGAAGCAUCUAGUGAUGGAACUGACAAAGAUGACACAGAUGAGACAUGGUUUCCUGAUCCUUGGUCUCCCAUAGGAAUCAGGAAAAGACCAGAGAAGGAGGAUGAGCAGUCACCAGCUCAGAAGACUGUGGAAACAUUUAAAGUAGAAAAAGAGAAGUUUGUACUGGGAAAAGAGAAUUGCAGAGCAAGAGUAGCACAGGAAGAGACCUCUCGAAGUCUGAUACCAAUGCCUGUAAGGAUUGCGAUAUUUGCCAUCUUUGUGUUUGUGCUCUUUGUGUAUGUAACUAUGGAGACUGACCCAAACAAUCCGCUCAUAAACUUCAUCCUGGGAAGAGGAUAAGAGCACUGUCCUGGUGACAUGCACAGUGUUUAGUGAUGACUACAGAACUGAAGAAUGCACUUUUCUUUCCCUGCUACUUAUGAACAAGCUCUUCAGGUAGUGAAUUAAAAGGCCAGUAGGAGGGGGAAAAUACUCUGCAACUUGUCUUUGCUUAGUGUUCAUUGUAUACAGUAGCUCAUAAUUCUUGGAAAUGUGACUUGUUAUACUGUUUUUUUCUUUGCUGAAACCAAGUUCACAUGUGGAUGCACACUUUGUGUCCCAGCUAGAGAGUUAAGUUCCUCGGAAGGGUUUAGGGUUCUGCAUGGUUUGGGGUUUUUCCUCAACUGCCUGUGGCUGGGAUCGUUCCAUCUUUGAGAACUCCAACUUCUGAGCUUUGGCUAUCACAUAUUUGAGAAACACCAGCUAUAAACUGGGGGAAACAAAUUGCUUGCCAACCUGGCAAGACAGGCAAUGACUCUAGCAUAAUACAAGCCRUGAGGGAUCAAGGGAGGAUUUACUGCAUCACAACUACUGGGAAAAAUGUUCUUGCCUCUCCAAGUCUAAAAAUCUUACCGAAAAGAGUACAGUGGAAGUGACAACCUCUCAGUAGUGGUCUGCCACCUUUCAUCUAAAGGUGACCUGAAUUUUCAAUGUAAUGUUCUCAUAAAUCAGACACUUAAAAGAUUUAAAGGAGUAGUAUAUUUCAUAGGUUGAGAUCAAGCUGAGGCCUUUUGGUGUCUUUUCCUUUCAUAGCAGAAAUGCAGUACUUUGAGCUUGGCAUGUAAUCUGAAGAAACAUACUGAAGCACCCUAAAAUUACUGUAGCCAUUUGACUUAAAAAAAAUUCUUGAUGUACUUUGCUGGGAAAGAAAAUUUAGUAUCCUUAGGUUUGAUGCUUUGGUUUAAGAGGAAAAUCCUUCCUGUAUAAGUCAUAACACAGUAAGCUAGUGGUAUGAUAUACUGAGUGGCUUCCUUAAUUCUUCUAAGUCAUUUUGCUUUAUCUUUAAGAUGUGUGCACUUUGUAAUCUUUACCUCAGAUCUUGGAUAUGGCUUUAACGUGAGAUAAGAGGUUACCUCUUUUCUAGGUAGGAUAAAUGGUAAUAAAUGGAGAGGGGUUUUGAUUCCUAUAGCA